rnacentral:rRNA from 1 species
UACGAAGGGGGCUAGCGUUGCUCGGAAUUACUGGCGUAAAGCGCACGUAGGCGGCUUGUUAAGUCGGAGGUGAAAUCCUGGAGCUCAACUCCAGAACUGCCUUCGAUACUGGCGAGCUCGAGUCCGGGAGAGGUGAGUGGAACUGCGAGUGUAGAGGUGAAAUUCGUGAGAUAUUCGCAAGAACACCAGUGGCGAAGGCGGCUCACUGGCCCGGUACUGACGCUGAGGUGCGAAAGCGUGGGGA